UACGAAGGGGGCUAGCGUUGCUCGGAAUCACUGGGCGUAAAGCGCACGUAGGCGGCUUCUUAAGUCAGGGGUGAAAUCCUGGAGCUCAACUCCAGAACUGCCUUUGAUACUGAGGAGCUUGAGUCCGGGAGAGGUGAGUGGAACUGCGAGUGUAGAGGUGAAAUUCGUAGAUAUUCGCAAGAACACCAGUGGCGAAGGCGGCUCACUGGCCCGGUACUGACGCUGAGGUGCGGAAAGCGUGGGGAGCAAACAGG
rnacentral:rRNA from 1 species